CCUACGGGAGGCAGCAGUGAGGAAUAUUGGUCAAUGGGCGGGAGCCUGAACCAGCCAAGUCGCGUGAGGGAAGACGGUCCUAUGGAUUGUAAGCCUCUUUAGGCGGGGAGCAAUGCCGGGCACGUGUGCCCGGAGGGAGAGCACCCGCAGAAUAAGCAUCGGCUAACUCCGUGCCAGCAGCCGCGGUAAGACGGAGGAUGCUAGCGUUAUCCGGAUUUAUUGGGGUAAAAGGGUUCGUAGGCGGAUUUUUAAGUCAGCGGUAAAAUGUACGGGCUCAACCCGGGCCGGCCGUUGAAACUGGGGAUCUUGAGUGGGCGAGAAGUAUGCGGAAUGCGGUGUGUAGCGGUGAAAUGCAUAGAUAUCACGCAGAACCCCGAUUGCGAAGGCAGCAUACCGGCGCCCGACUGACGCUGAGGCACGAAAGCGUGGGGAUCGAACAGGAUUAGAUACCCGUGUAGUC
rnacentral:rRNA from 1 species